rnacentral:rRNA from 1 species
AUACGGAGGAUGAAAGCGUUAUCCGGAUUUAUUGGGUUUAAAGGGUGCGUAGGCGGAUGAUUAAGCGUGAGGUGAAAUGCCACUGCUCAACAGUGGAACUGCCUCGCGAACUGGUUGUCUUGAAUGCUCCUGCCGUGGGAGGACUGUGUGGUGUAGCGGAGAAAUGCAUAGAGAUCACACAGAACACCGAUUGCGAAGGCAUGUCACGAAGGGGUGAUAGACGCUGAGGCACGAAAGCGUGGGGAUCAAACAGGAUUAGAUACCCUGGUAGUCCAUGCAGUAAACGAUGAUAACUAACCUCUGGGUCGUAGUGAUUCAGUGGCCAAGCGAAAGCAAUAAGUGAUCCACCUGGGGAGUACGACCGCAAGGUUGAAACUCAAAGGAAUUGACGGGG